rnacentral:snRNA from 1 species
AUCACUUCUUGGCCUUAUUGGCUAAGAUCAAGUGUAGUAUCUAUUCUGAUCAGUUUAAUAUCUGGAAGGAAAAGAAAGAAAUAAUUAAAUCUGGAAGGAAGGAAU